GUGGAGUUGCCAGGUGCGGCGAAGCGCUUGCCAUGUUCCACCUCAGGCCUGGCUGCCUUUCAGCAGAGAAUGAAAUGAGCACUGUGCACAGCAUUUGCACUGAGCCCGGAUCCUCUGCAGGGAAGAGUGCUAGAGAAGCAGCCUACCCAAGGACCAGUGCUGGAGCCUUGUCACAAAAGGACAGCCAUGGAGUGCUCCUGAUCCCUUCUCAGCUCCUUGGGCAGGAGAGCUGGUGCCAGGAGCAGCAGGAUGUGCAACCCAGCAUGCCUUGCCUGCUGCCUCCACUGAGGAGGGCUGGCACUGCCUGCACUUCUCCCCGCCCCGUUCCUGGCCAGAGACUCAGCAAUUUCCUCAGGAAUGAAUCACGAACAAAAAACCAAACAACAGCUAUUUAAGAAGGUUUCGUCUCCCUCUGGAACUGUCCUCAGAAGUAUCAUAUUCCUGACAGUUUAUUCUUCAAGAAUUUAGUCAUCUAAGGUUACAGUGACUCAUGUGAUGAACCUUCUGCCCAUUUCCUGGAAAGAGUCUUGCAUGGUUCUCUACACCUCCUGCCAUUUUGCUUCAGGGUCUCAGUUCUCACUUCAUUUUCAUAAAGUUCAACUUUCCUUCAAUUUUGGGGUGGAGGAAGAAGGCAAAAAUAUCUUGAGUGUACUCAAAUUUACAAUGUAACCAGAAAGCUGUGUGGUGAAAGAAACAUUUGGAAAAUAAAGAUGGAUACUGAACCAGAGAA